UACGUAGGGGCCUAGCGUUGUCCGGAUUUAUUGGGCGUAAAGAGCUCGUAGGCGGUUCGGCAAGUCGGGUGUGAAAACUCCAGGCUCAACCUGGAGACGCCACCCGAUACUGCUGUGACUUGAGUCCGGUAGGGGACCACGGAAUUCCUGGUGUAGCGGUGAAAUGCGCAGAUAUCAGGAGGAACACCGGUGGCGAAGGCGGUGGUCUGGGCCGGCACUGACGCUGAGGAGCGAAAGCGUGGGGAGCGAACAGG
rnacentral:rRNA from 1 species